GGGCCUGUAGUCGAAUGGUAAGACGUCACCCUGACACGGUGAAAAUUCCCGGUUCGAUCCCGGGCGGGCCCA
rnacentral:tRNA from 1 species